rnacentral:lncRNA from 1 species
AUUGCAACCUCCGCCUCCUGGGUUCAAGCAAUUCUCCUGCCUCAGCCUCCUGAGUAGCUGGGAUUACAGGCGCCCGCCACCACUCCCAGCUAAUUUUUGUAUUUUUAGUAGGGACGAGGUUUCACCAUGUUGGUCAGGCUGGUCUCAAACUCCUGACCUCGUGAUCUGCCCUCCUUGGCCUUCCAAAGUGCUGGGAUUACAGGCGUGAUGGAGAUGAUACUCCCUAAAUCACAAGGGUGUGGUGUGAAGAUGAAAUGGCUGCACGUGACAGAGGAGUUGGAGAACAGGAAGCAAGUGGAUUACUUGGAUGAACUGUGAUGGGCCCAAGAAGAACUAAGCCAAUCACUCCAGGGGGCGUUUUCCCAGGAUCCAGGCAGAGAGCUGAUUCCAGCAUCCACGUUGUAUCCCCCUCCCGCUGUGGCCGGGGUCUCCAAGAGCCGGGCACCCACUGCAGAGCUUCCAAGCCCAGGCCCAUUUGAACACAGGAGGACUUUUGAGGUUCAUUUAACCCCAAAAUCAGUGAUUCUACAUCUCAAGCUCAUAUUUUGAAGUGUUUACGGUCUCGAGCUCCAGUUCCCUGCCAGGAAGAGCUGAAGCUGAGCUCUGGCACCCCCUGCUUCUUCU